AGAGUUUGAUCCUGGCUCAGGACGAACGCUGGCGGCGUGCCUAACACAUGCAAGUCGAGCGAAGUUUAUUUAGCAGCGACUUCGGUCAAAGCUGAUUAAACUUAGCGGCGAACGGGUGAGUAACACGUAGGCAACCUGCCCAUGACACGGGGAUAGCUUCGGGAAACCGGAGGUAAUACCCGAUACCUUUACUUAUUGCAUGAUAAGUAAAGAAAGCGAAUAGCGGUCAUGGAUGGGCCUGCGUCCCAUUAGCUAGUUGGUGAGAUAACAGCCCACCAAGGCGACGAUGGGUAGCCGACCUGAGAGGGUGACCGGCCACACUGGAACUGAGACACGGUCCAGACUCCUACGGGAGGCAGCAGUGGGGAAUCUUGCGCAAUGGGCGAAAGCCUGACGCAGCGACGCCGCGUGAGCGAAGAAGGCCUUCGGGUCGUAAAGCUCAGUCAUUGGGGAUGAGAUGACAGUACCCAAGGAGGAAGCCCCGGCUAACUACGUGCCAGCAGCCGCGGUAAUACGUAGGGGGCGNNNCUAACUACGUGCCAGCAGCCGCGGUAAUACGUAGGGGGCGAGCGUUGUCCGGAAUUACUGGGUGUAAAGGGCGUGUAGGCGGGGGUGCAAGUUACCGGUAAAAACCCAGGGCUCAACUCUGGGCUUGCCGGUAAAACUGCAUCUCUUGAGUGUAGGAGAGGGAAGUGGAAUUCCCGGAGUAGCGGUGAAAUGCGUAGAUACCGGGAGGAACACCAGUGGCGAAGGCGGCUUCCUGGCCUACAACUGACGCUGAGGCGCGAAAGCUAGGGUAGCGAACGGGAUUAGAUACCCCGGUAGUCCUAGCCGUAAACGAUGGU
rnacentral:rRNA from 1 species